CCUACGGGUGACAGCAGUGGGGAAUAUUGCACAAUGGGGGAAACCCUGAUGCAGCGACGCCGCGUGAGCGAUGAAGUAUUUCGGUAUGUAAAGCUCUAUCAGCAGGGAAGAAGAUGACGGUACCUGACUAAGAAGCCCCGGCUAACUACGUGCCAGCAGCCGCGGUAAUACGUAGGGGGCAAGCGUUAUCCGGAUUUACUGGGUGUAAAGGGAGCGUAGACGGCGAUGCAAGUCAAGGGUGAAAUCCCCGCGCUCAACGUGGGAACUGCCUUUGAAACUGGCAAACUGGAGUGUGUGAGAGGAUAGUGGAAUUCCAGGUGUAGGAGUGAAAUCCGUAGAUAUCUGGAGGAACAUCAGUGGCGAAGGCGACUAUCUGGCACAUAACUGACGCUGAGGAGCGAAAGCGUGGGUAGCAAACAGGAUUAGAUACCCGAGUAGUC
rnacentral:rRNA from 1 species